rnacentral:rRNA from 1 species
AUGUACCAGAUUAGUAAACACCUCAACAAAACCUACAACAAAAAUCAAACGAUGGUACAUCCUAUAAAACGAAACACCCACGAAAGUGAUGAACACCACACUGAGACACAAACCCAUCGACAAAAAUUUGGCUUAGUUUUAUUCAAUCAAAUGAAGCCAGGGCGAGAGCCCUUUUCUUCUAAAAAAACAAACCCAUCGACAUCACACCACAUCCAGGCAGCCACAAAGCACUUAAUCCAAACCCCCAAUGGACCGCACCAACAUCAACACAUGAUGAUAGACAGGAAGCAUCCACCACUACAGCCCCUACCAUGUAAUCCAUGGGGAGAAAGAAAAAUCUGGGAGGACACCCCGCAGCCAAAACAAGCCUGUCAAAUAUCGACCGGCCCCGGCAAGGAAACAGCACCACAAAUGCAGAAAUAA